rnacentral:misc_RNA from 1 species
CGAAAAAAGAACAUCGAACAAGAAAGAGACAUCCGGUCCGAAUUGAUCUCAGGGACAUUUGGCGUUCCUCCCGGGUCCUCCGUAGUAGAAGUAGCUUCCCCAGUAGCUGUUAGUGCCUCCCUGGAUAUCGUAGCAUCCAGGAUGGUCGGCGAGGAGUUUCAGGUUGGCCGCCGGGAUGAGGUUGUUGUCCCAGUCCACCACCUGCAGGUUCCGGAAGUAGGCGGCGCGGUCGAAGCCCUCUCUGGGGAAGUGGCCGCUGCCCAUCUGCGUCGCGGUAUGCGACCCCGACGGCCGGGUGUUGACGACCUCGCCGCCGAACUGCACCAUGUUGGCGUGGCGAGCCAGGUGGCUGAAGAGGUGCGACGGCCAGUACCCGACUACGAGGCCCGGGCCCAGCUCCAGCCACCAGUGCCCGUGCUUUGGGUCCUGAUGGGCACACCACUGGGUGUCAGAAAAAACUUCACGGCAGGCACAUUUUAGUUUGCUUUGAUCUGAAAUGACAAUCCGUCAAUUGGUUAUAGUCACCUUCCAUAGCAUGAGAGUGAUGUCGAACUGCCUGCCAUUGUACACCGACUCCGGGGUGAUAGCCGCCCCAAUUGCAAUCUUGUUCGUCGUCUGCACGAAUCCGCGGCAAUUGUGGUUGUAGCACCCGGUUUCUUGGUACGCGUCAGUCUACAAAAUGUUCGUUUGGUUAGGAUCCUAUGGUGUAAAAAAAAAAAAAACAGAAGUGCUUAUAUCCGAUGAACACACUUACUGUCCAGUAGGUGAAGAAUCUUGGGUUACUGUCUCCGUAUAGCUCUGGGCUUACCUAUAAAAGCAUGACAUAUCAUUGGACUAGUGGGCG